AAAAAUGCAAGGAGAAUUUCGACGUUUCCUUGAAAUUCUCCUUGUAAAUUCAGGUAGUUGCAUUUCUAUCAACCCAAAUUUUAUUAUUAUUGACACGACCUACACUGGCAUAGACCAGUGAUUACCCAUAGAAGAUUACCAUGGUUGCCCUCUGUUCUCAUAUCUUCCGCCCUAUUCUCAGCUCGCUCGUAUUGGCACAAGAACCUCUGGAACCAGGGUAGAUAUU